CUUUGUAGUCCCAGGAUAACCUCUCGCGCGCUCUGGUGUUGCGGAUGCGAAGGUUGUUGUGCCUCUGGCCAGCUCCCAUCGAAUUUCCUGGGUCUAUGUUUCUUAUACACCCCUGUAUGUUAAAAAGAAUGUUGAUUUCAAAGGGCUUUGGCCUAUAGAAACUCAAUACAACUUUCAGCAACGGAUCUCUUGGCUCUCGCAUCGAUGAAGAACGCAGCGAAAUGCGAUAAGUAAUGUGAAUUGCAGAAUUCAGUGAAUCAUCGAAUCUUUGAACGCACCUUGCGCUCCUUGGUAUUCCGAGGAGCAUGCCUGUUUGAGUGUCAUUAAAUUCUCAACCUCACCUGGUUUUCUAACCUGUGUGUUGGCUUGGACUUGGGAGUUAUGCAGGCUGCAGUCUACUGUGGCUCUGCUCUCCUUAAAUGUAUUAGCAGGUCUUUUACCUCUAUCUCAAUGGUGUGAUAAUCUGUCUACGCUGUUGGUUUGGAGACCCUUCAUUGGGGGAC
rnacentral:rRNA from 1 species